AGGGUUUCCCUGGGCCUGGAAGACUUCUGUCCUUGACCAUGACAUCCUCUAUUGGAAAAGGAACGGAGGCUCGGGACAGAGGCUGUAACAGAUGAUGAAAAAGCUGCCUCAAAUGGAAGAAGCACCUUGCCCAAGGUCACGGCCAAGACCUGAACCUGAAUCUGGACUUCAGCCUUAGAGCCCUCUUGCCACUAGAUUGGACAAGAAGAAAACAAGACCAAACCUAACGUUUCCUGCUGGCUGGGGAGCCACUGGGGUAUGCAGAGACAGGUCUCUGUGUCCCUGGCAGGAGGGAAGAGCCUGAGAAAAUAUAUGUUCAAUUAUGCAAAA